AUGGGCUCCAGGCUCCUAUGCUGUGUGGUGCUUUGUCUCCUGGGAGCAGUCCCAGUGGAUUCUGGAGUCACCCAAACACCAAGACACCUGAUUAAAGCAAGAAGACAGCAAGUGACAAUGAGAUGUUCCCCUAGUUCUGGGCACACUCGUGUAUUUUGGUACCAACAGACCCUCAACCAGAGCCCACAGUUCCUCUUUCAGUAUUACGAGGGGGAAGAGAAUGAUAAAGGAAACAUCUCGGAUCGAUUCUCAGGGCAACAGUUUAGUAACUACAGCUCUGAGCUGAACGUGAGCAUCUUGGAGGUGGCGGACUCGGCCCUGUAUCUCUGUGCCAGCAGCGUGGCACAGCCCUGCAGAGUCACCAACGUUCUGUGCACAAAGCUCCCUGCCCCAACGUGGAGCAACCUCAGAGCUGACAGAACUGUGAGAACCUCGGGUCUGCAGUGGGAAAGAGAAAUGACUCAGGGCCCUGGAAAGUGCAGCCUUGAACUCCUCUGCCACCCAGGGACAUGA